ACUACGGGUGGCAGCAGUGGGGGAUAUUGGACAAUGGGGGGAACCCUGAUCCAGCGACGCCGCGUGAGUGAAGAAGUAUCUCGGUAUGUAAAGCUCUAUCAGCAGGGAAGAAGACGGGACCUGACUAAGAAGCCCCGGCUAACUACGUGCCAGCAGCCGCGGUAAUACGUAGGGGGCGAGCGUUAUCCGGAUUCACUGGGUGGAAAGGGAGCGUAGACGGCCGGGCAAGACAGGAGAGAAAGGCCGCGGCACCACACCGGGACUGCUCGUGGAACUGUGCGUCUGGAGUGCGGGAGGGGCAGGCGGAAUUCCUGGUGUAGCUGGGAAAUGCGUAGAUAUCAGGAGGAACACCGGCGGCGAAGGCGGCCUGCUGGCCCGCGACUGACGUUGAGGCUCGAAAUCGUGGGGAGCGAACAGGAUUAGAUACCCGAGUAGUC
rnacentral:rRNA from 1 species